ensembl:lncRNA
GAAAAUGAAUCUGAAGACAGGAUUCCACUGUCUGCAUUUCCGGAUUGCUUUGAGAGCUACUGGGGAUGCCUCCUGGUCAAGGGGUAUAAGGAAAACUGACUCCUUUGAAAAGAUCCUGAUGCUGGGAAAGAGUGAAGGUGGGAGGAGAAGGGGACGGCAGAGGAGGAGAUGGUUGGAUAGCAUCACCGACUCAAUGGACAUAGUUUGAGUCCUCCCAGAAUACACACAAAGGAGGAGAGGCGGGCCUCCAGAACCCAGCAGGGCACGUUAGUAGGAGAAACAGCCCCAGGAAGCAGAAGCAUCAUCCAAUACUUCAUUCUUGAAGCAUCACAUGUGAGUCAGAUUUCUAAUAAAUGG